rnacentral:rRNA from 1 species
UACGGAGGGUGCAAGCGUUAUCCGGAUUCACUGGGGUUAAAGGGUGCGUCGGCGGCCAGGUAAGUCAGUGGUGAAAUCUCCGGGCUUAACCCGGAAACUGCCGUUGAUACUAUCUGUCUUGAAUAUCGUGGAGGUAAGCGGAAUAUGUCAUGUAGCGGUGAAAUGCUUAGAUAUGACAUAGAACACCCAUUGCGAAGGCAGCUUACUACACGAUCAUUGACGCUGAGGCACGAAAGCGUGGGGAGCAAACAGG